ACGUCCUAUCUGGGUAUAUCAUGUCCCGAUAUGAGACGUUUGUUGCGACAGCUGUGCCAGAGUGGCAUGGAAGCAAGGCGCCAGUCGUGAUAUACACUGCCGCGAUAUACAUGCGAUAUACAUGGGGUUCCUAUCAUGACUUGCUGCGGAGGUCUUGUCGCGAUGGUAUCCCACAGUUACGCGUUUGGCAACAGCGUGUCACGAAGCGCCAGGCUGCUGGGCGCAGUCCAUAUGGAGACCUGAACCAGGACCAGGACCCGAAGAAGCCUGUUGACUCCCCCAGCUCGUGGGCCUUCCCCUGCCGCUGGCCCGGGUCAGACUCUCCCCUGGGCCCCAGCUGUGGGGGAUUUUCAGAGCUCGAGUUCGGAGCCUUGGGCAGGAGAAGUGGCUUGUGUUUCCAGUUCAGUGAGGAAGCCGUUCUGAGACAGAGUGCUGAUCCAGCCCUGCUGGUGAAAAGCUCUGGAUGGACAGACACAGAACCUCCACUUCCUGAAGCAGCACAGGUGCAGCGCCCUGCAGACGACUGCAGCUUGACCUGUCCUCUGGCCUCCCCGCUCGCUGUCCUCUGUGUCCACAGCCCUGGACCUCUGCGCUGCACUCUGGCAGGCGAUCAGGGGUGCCCAGUAGCGUGCCAUCUUCUGCCACUUCGUCCAAUUCAGGAUCGUGGAGGAGAUAGAGCCUAUCCCUGCAAGCAAUGGGCACAAGACAGCAUAGACCCUGGACAGGACGCCAUACCAACACAGGGCAAACAGACACUCGCACCAGGACCAAUUUCCCCAGAAGCCAAUUAACCUAGAAGUACGUUUUGGGACUAUGGGAGGAAACCUACUGUACAUGAGCACAGGGAGAACAUACAACUCCACACAGUUAGCACCCGAGUUUUUAUAUAUUAAAUAUAAUUCCGUUCCUUAGGCUCUGUGUCUUUGAAGUUACAAGUUAAAUCCGGUAUUGCAGCGUUUACAAGAUUGUGAGCCUGUUAACAUGAAAUUGAUAGAGGUUUAGCCUCAGAGGAGGCUGAUAUAUACUGAAAGACACAGAAGGGAGGAAAAGCUAAGCAUGUAUUUUGGGGUUAAUGCAGAAUAGAGGGGCACAAGACUGUAAAGAGGACAAACAUUUACACGAGGAAAGGAAGGCAUAGGAUUGAGUUAACGAGUUAACUAGCUGAGAUCAUGAGCAGAAGAGACAGGCUGGAAGGAGACUACUACAGAGCAGCAGGGGUGGCUUAAGCAAGGGGGAGCAGAAAAAGUCAGCAUUAGAGAAGGACGAGCAAGGGAAGCUGUUGGGAGUUGAGGAAAGACAGUCUGAAAGACAUCUGUCCUGAAUCAGAGCAUUUGGAUUAGAGCAGCAGUGUUGUUCAGGUUAGGGGUUUUCAAGCCCAAUUUCUCUGGCAAUCUCAGAGUGUGGCCAACGUUGCUUACAGGUGAACACCCUUCCGUUUGUGAGGGUACACUAGAGCACUGCCAGGGCUCCUCUGUGAGAAGACACUUGCUUUUCCCUGUCCUGAAUGUGCUUUUCUCCUCAUUUCCUCUCGUGUCCCUGCGGCUUAGUCUCCUGCGCCGAGUCUGAAACAGGGUUUUGAAUCCCUCCCUCAGAUUAACCCCCAAUCAGCCAGACAGCCUUAAUAGCACUCAGAGGAAGACCCCCAGCCAACGGGCAAGCCACCCUGGAGCCUGAUCUCCUCACGGAGCAGAGGAAGACAAACAGGUUUGGCCUUGUCCUUGACAGGCCCCGAGCUCUGAGAGAAACCAGGUGCUGCAGUGUAUGACACAUAUUGGCACAUUCCCGUUUUCUCUCUCCCUUCACAGCCUCAAAGCUCGUAUUUUUCUUCCACUGCUCUUUCCUCGUUCCUUGAACACGACUAUAACAUCCCUCUGUUUCUGUUUCCCCUUCGCUGUCUCUUUCUCUUCAGGCCUUUCCCCCUUUCCCUCUCCAGACUCCAGACCGUUCUCCGGAUCCCCCCUGCGUACACGGGACUGAAAAAUAAUGGAAAGACGUCAUACUUACCCAGGAGUGAGGCCGGUACUGACACGCCAACUGUACAAAGUCUGAUCCCGGUCACCUCCGGACGAGAACCUGCUCUGCUCGUACGAGGAGCUGGGAGACUGGCUCUCCCUGUCCUCUCCCGGCCUGCGCUGGACCGAGAGGCUCCGUGGGCAGAAUGGGUCUGUGGUCCAAGAGAACAGAAUGAAGCCGCUCCAGCAUGUUUGAAAGCUAAAAGCCUGCUAAGCCCUAAGAGGGUGAAAGUGGUCUUAUUUCCCACACCUCUUAGCAGAUGAGUUGAGCAGAGCCUGUGUUUUGUUGCCGUGUGUUUGGAAGUGAGGUGUGAUAUCGUUCGGUAGGAGAAGCGACUCAGGAGUGCGCGGCUGAGGUGAUCCUGCUGUGGCAGGGCCCUGUUGCUUCGGCUGCUCGGCUCCAGAACAGACUGCGACAUUUGGCCGGGGAUCAAGAUUUCCUCGGCGCUGAAAGAGGCAAGCGUUCCACCGUUUGUUACCAGCUAAGGCACCUUCCAGAUUUUCGUCCCGGAUUUUUAAGAUUCCUGGGCUUUACGUUGAGAUGGGUUGUGACAAAAAAAGUUUUUUUUUUUAAACAAAAUCGCGGCGACAGAGCCGGGAUUUCCCCCUGCGCUUUCCUAGACGGCAGAGGGAGAGCAUGUGCAUGCGUGACUCUCGCAAAGCUUGAAAAACUAACGUUGCAGCGGGAUUAGAUUUCAGCUGUUUUGGCUGGUAGCUAAAGGUCACAUUAGUAGUCUAUCAGCACAUUAUAAACUAUCAGCAUACCAUUAAGAGGUACUUCACUUCACAGUUUCGCGGAAAGACACAGGAAACAGCAGAGGCUAAAGGUCUCUGAGCAGCAGACACCAUGAAGCAUGUUAAUCUG